rnacentral:rRNA from 1 species
AACGAACGCUGGCGGCAUGCCUAACACAUGCAAGUCGAACGAACCCUUCGGGGUUAGUGGCGCACGGGUGCGUAACGCGUGGGAAUCUGCCCUUUGCUUCGGAAUAACAGUUAGAAAUGACUGCUAAUACCGGAUGAUGUCUUCGGACCAAAGAUUUAUCGGCAAGGGAUGAGCCCGCGUAGGAUUAGGUAGUUGGUGGGGUAAAGGCCUACCAAGCCGACGAUCCUUAGCUGGUCUGAGAGGAUGAUCAGCCACACUGGGACUGAGACACGGCCCAGACUCCUACGUGAGGCAGCAGUGGGGAAUAUUGGACAAUGGGCGCAAGCCUGAUCCAGCAAUGCCGCGUGAGUGAUGAAGGCCUUCGGGUCGUAAAGCUCUUUUACCAGGGAUGAUAAUGACAGUACCUGGAGAAUAAGCUCCGGCUAACUCCGUGCCAGCAGCCGCGGUAAUAC